rnacentral:rRNA from 1 species
AAACGUAGGAGGCGAGCGUUAUCCGGAUUUACUGGGCGUAAAGCGCGUGCAGGCGGCUUGGAAAGUUGGCUGUGAAAGCUCCCGGCUUAACUGGGAGAGGUCGGUCAAGACUUCCAGGCUUGAGGGUGGUAGAGGGAGGUGGAAUUCCGGGUGUAGUGGUGAAAUGCGUAGAUAUCCGGAGGAACACCAGUGGCGAAAGCGGCCUCCUGGACCAUUUUUGACGCUCGGACGCGAAAGCUAGGGUAGC